rnacentral:rRNA from 1 species
UACGAAGGGGGCUAGCGUUGCUCGGAAUCACUGGGCGUAAAGCGCACGUAGGCGGCUUUUUAAGUCAGGGGUGAAAUCCUGGAGCUCAACUCCAGAACUGCCUUUGAUACUGGGAAGCUUGAGUCCGGGAGAGGUGAGUGGAACUCCGAGUGUAGAGGUGAAAUUCGUAGAUAUUCGGAAGAACACCAGUGGCGAAGGCGGCUCACUGGCCCGGUACUGACGCUGAGGUGCGAAAGCUAGGGGAGCAAACGGG